GAUUCCCCUAGUAACGGCGAGUGAAGCGGGAAGAGCUCAAAUUUAAAAUCUGGCAGUGAAUUCUGUCCGAGUUGUAGUCUAGAGAAGCAUCAUCCGUGCUGGACCAUGUACAAGUCUCUUGGAACAGAGCGUCAUAGAGGGUGAGAAUCCCGUCCUUGACAUGGACUCCCAGUACUUUGUGUUGUGCUCUCAACGAGUCGAGUUGUUUGGGAAUGCAGCUCAAAAUGGGUGGUAAAUUCCAUCUAAAGCUAAAUAUUGGCGAGAGACCGAUAGCGAACAAGUACCGUGAGGGAAAGAUGAAAAGCACUUUGGAGAGAGAGUUAAACAGUACGUGAAAUUGUUGAAAUGGAAACGCUUGAAGUCAGUCGCGUUCUCUGGGAUUCAGCCUUGCUUCUGCUUGGUGCAUUUCCUAGUCUACGGGCCAGCAUGAGUUUUGACCGGUGGAAAAAGAUUUGGGGAAUGUGGCACCUUCGGGUGUGUUAUAGCCCCUUGUCACAUACACUGGUUGGGAUUGAGGUCUUAGUGCACGCUUCGGUUGUGCUUUGAUGCUGGCGUAAUGGCUUUAAACGACCCGUCUUGAAACACGGACCAAGGAGUCUAACAUGUCUGCGAGUGUUUGGGUGUAAAACCCGAGCGCGAAAUGAAAGUGAUAGUUGGGAACCUCUUUAGAGGGGCACCGACGCCCGGACCAGACCUUCUGUGACGGAUCCGAGGUAGAGCAUAUAUGUUGGGACCCGAAAGAUGGUGAACUAUGCCUGCAUAGGGUGAAGCCAGAGGAAACUCUGGUGGAGGCUCGUAGCGAUUCUGACGUGCAAAUCGAUCGUC
rnacentral:rRNA from 1 species